AGUCAUUCAAUCCGACUCUUUAAGGAGGAAAGUCAACGUAGCAAUUGACUGACGGAGUCUGUAGAAAUAGUGUCAAAGUUAAAAAAGAUCAACAGAUGAAGACAAAUUGAAUGAAUUUCACUCAGGACUGAGCACGGAAAAGGCUUAGGACAGACGGCGUUCACUGACAGCACUCUGAUCAGCUAAAUCCUACUUACAGCCAUGACUGCAUGCAUCUUUCUACGGGGAGGCAAAAUUGACAGACAAUUGGCAGAUGAUGAAAUUGAAGAGCUGAGAGAGGCAUUUAAUGAGUUUGAUAAGGAUAAGGACGGACUCAUUACCUGUAAGGAUCUGGGAAACCUGAUGAGGACAAUGGGUUAUAUGCCAACUGAGAUGGAACUGAUCGAGUUAGGCCAGAACAUUAACAUGAAUUUAGGAGGAAGGGUAGACUUUGAAGACUUUGUAGAGUUGAUGGCUCCAAAGCUUUUGGCUGAAACAGCAGGCAUGAUUGGUGUGAAGGAACUACGAGAUGCUUUCAAAGAGUUUGAUAUGGAUGGUGAUGGAUCAAUCACUACAGAUGAGCUGAGGUGUGCCAUGAGUAAACUAAUGGGAGAGCACAUGAACCACAGAGAGAUUGAUGCUGUGGUCAGAGAGGCGGACAACAAUGGAGAUGGUACAGUAGACUUUGAAGAGUUUGUGAGGAUGCUGUCAAACUGCUGAGAAAAUCAUCCAUGGUUACAACAAAGAUAUGAAAAACAGGGUUGCUUGCUAAGAAAUUCUGAUUUAUAUGAUUAAAACUGACUGCAUGGGGAGUGCUUAAAUUUAAUUGAGCUAGAACCUUUUAAAUGUAAAUGACUGAACCCAAAUCAAGACUACAUGAAAUGUAUAAUGUCAAGCCCUACAUACAAAAUCCCCACAUGCCUGCAUAACAAAAGCAUGCAAAUACAAAUAUAAAUACAAUAAAAAUGAACUAUAUGUUUUUACAUGUUGGAUUUUUACAGGAUUUUGUGCAGUAUUAUUUUUAUUUAACCAGAUUCAAUAUCAAAAUAUGUCCUCAAAAUGUUCUUUUUAAAGAUAUUUUCACAGCAAUAAAAUACAACAUUAUGUAAUAAAUAGGGAUGCACCGAUAGGAUUUUUUGGGACCGAUACCGGUUUAAACAGACAACUUCUGGCCGACCGAUGCCGAUUGCUACUUCAAAAAAAGUUGGACUUCUUUUCCCCCACUAAAGUGCAGUAUGUUUCUUUUAUUGUCCAAGACAUUUGAGCCAGCUCAACAAAGGUUUUCUGUCGGUGCUUAAGUAUAGUGCACACCAGAAAAUUAAAUCAUUUUAUUUGAACAACAGACAUGCAAUUCAUUGCCUUUAUGCGGUUAAUUAAUAAACAAUCGGUAUCGGCCUUUCUCCUGCUAUUGCCGAUAUGCCGAUGGUUUCAAAUUCAUCAAAAAUCGGACAAUAAAUAUCGGCGGCCGAUACAUCGGUGCAUCACUAGUAAUAAAUACAUGUCUUACUCUGUGUAUGUGAAUGUAAGGCUUCCUCAUAUCAUAAAACCCUAACAAGUGUUGGCCUGCAUUAAUGCCUAGAGUUUAAAUGUCAGCAGCUCUGCAGACUGAUCUCAGAUCAGAUUUCCUAAAUUUGAUGAUUUAAAGACAACACAGUUAAGAUGAUAUAUCUGAUUUCUGAACUUAACUUUCACGUUUUUUUCUGAAGAGUGUAAUUUAAAUAUAUAGAUUUAAACGAGAUACAAAUCCUGCAGGCUAAAUAUUUCUAACAUUUCACAGGAUAAAACAAAAAAGCUGGGUAAUCUCGGUAUGUGAAGAGCAGAUGGUGAAGACAAGAAAUCACUUUUAAGAGAAACUUUCUGUGAAAGAUUAAGAGGAUAAUGGAAUUGCCAAGGGAUGAGAGGCACAAGGGAUUUUAGUUGGAUGCACUGCACUUCACAAACCGUACAGAAAAAAACUGAGACACAUGUCUAUAAACCAGAAACCUCUGAAUUGCUAAAGCAGGAAUGCUUAGACAAAUUGACAGAUACUGAUAAUUAUGUUCUGUUCUGUCUGAAUAAUAUAAAAAAAAAUAGAUUUUGAAUUUGGAACAAUAUUUUUUCCAAUAUUUAAGAGAAAACACCCCACUUUUCAGAUUUUGUUAAAGGCAAAGAGAAAAACCUUUUGUCUUUACAUGGUUUAAUCAAACUGUAACAAUUAACUAAAAGAAACUCCCCUUUAAAGGCGGAGUCCACGAUGUUUGAAAAACACUUUGGAAAACGAGACGGGCCGACUACCAAAACACACUUAAAGCCAAUCAGCAGUAAGGAGCGUGUCUACUAAUCGACAUCCUUGCCGGGUUGCGUAUGUGUGGGGCGGGUCUAUCAACAGAAGGUCCAGAUUCUAUUGGGGUAGGGGCGUGUUUGUUUAGGUGAUUUCAAAUAUCAACAUUGGCUUUCAAACAUCGUGGACUCCGCCUUUAAAAAGACAGUACAUCGAUCUGUAAUAAGGGGUCUGGAACAAUAAAUAUUCUUCAUUCAUUUCACUUUGUAGCACUGUUGAUUUCAAAACACAUAUAAUUACAGUAAA